AAGCAAUCGGAUUUCUGAGUUCAAGGUCAGCCUGGUUUACAGAAGCAAGUUCCAGGGCAGCCUGGGACACACAGAGAAAUCCUAUCUUGAAAAACAAAAACCAAACUAACAAAAAGCUUUAGCCUUAAUUAGGAAAGGAAAACCGUAUGCUUAGGUUGUUUGGAUGCAUGGUUGGGAACUAACAAUUACUCAGUUUGUGAAACUGUGAAAAAGGAAGAGAGGACUCAUGGUGGUUUGUAUUUUACACUGCAAAAAAUUUCCUAGUGGCAUUCACACACAUCACAAACACACACUAAUUUCGAUUUAGGAAAUUAAGAAAAUAUUUCUUAUAUUAUUCCUUGAUUGGGUUUCUUGUUAUACUUGUUAUUUCUUAUUAAUUCCUCACAUUAACAGAUCUAUUUUACUUUUGAAUAGUAAUUUGGCCCUGCCUCAAGUGUUAGUGUGUUUUAGAAACCCAGUGGAGUUCUAACAUUUGUUUUCCUUAGUUUUGUUUUAAUCCUAAUAAUCAUUAUUUUUUUUUCCCCAGAGGUAGCUACUCUAGAGACAAAAGCCCUGGGGCUAUCUGUUGCAGUUGAAGAGAAAUUUACCAGUGGAAUCCCCCUCCCCCUCCUGCAAAAAUAAAAGUUUGAAAAACAGUAGUAAAAUUAUCUACUUUUCCUAAGUAGGCCAAGGGGGUUUGCCCUUGUUAUAGUCUUGAUAUCUUAAGUCAUAGGAUCAUGUAAAAUUUAGACUUGCUAGCCUUAAACUUCUGAUAAAUAAAAUGAAAUCUUUAGAUCUAAAUCCAAGUUUAACAAAUAACUUGAGUGCAUACUUCUAAAAAUAGCAACAUUUUAAUGAACAGCAUAAAAUUCUUGCUAGCAUAAGAGAGAUAAUAAGCCAGACAAUUAAGUUAAAAGGUCUAACCUAUUAGUGAUGAGUGCCCUUCAGGGAAAGUAAGAUUGGUGAUGUGGAUAGGUUGGGGGUGACAUGUUGAUUGUCUGAGGGACUAGCUUUCUAGGUGGAGAGAAUAACAAGCACAGAAGCCUUGAAGUGGGCAGAGGGGCUUUUAUACAGCCUGGGGCACAUGGAAGCCUAGGAAAGAGUCUUGUUAUUAGUCAGUGAGAGUGUUGGCUUUUACUUUGAGUGAGCUACCAUUAGAGAUAUUUCCAUAUAGAAGUGAUACAAUUACACACAGGAGUGACAUUUUCACAGGUUCAUUCUUUGACUUACUUGCACUGAGUAUAUGAACUGCUGCAGGACAGGAUAAUGGUAGAAAUAGAGAAAAGAUAGAUCAGUUGAGAAGUGAAUGAAUUCUGGAUAUAUUUUCUAAAUUUAGUUAUCAGGAUUUAUUGGUAGAGAUUUGUUGUGGUGGGGUGGGGAAUGUCUUAAGAAUGAUUUUAAGGUUUUUUUAUUUUUAAAUUAUGUGUGUGCAUAGCUAUGUUUGAAUAUCUGUAUAUGUGUGCAGGUGCCUAAAAAAGCUGGAAGUAUUUAGAUUCCCUGGAGCUGGAGUUAAAGGCAGUUGUAAAUUACCUUAUGUAAGUGCUGGUCAGACUCUGGUCAGAUCUUCUGCAAGAGCAGUAUGUACUUUUAAGCACUGAGCCAUCUCUUGCUCGAAUUAUAAGGUUUAUGAGCAAAUGAAAGGAUUAAACUGACAUUAUUUAACAUGGAAAAGAACAAGGAUAGCUAGCUUAUCAGUAGCUUAGUUUCAAAUUUGCUAAGUUCAAAUUGGCAAUUAGAGUUAAAAAGGAGCAAGUUAGUUUGGUUGGGGUUUCAGUGAAAUCCAGAUUUGGCUUAGAGAUAUAAACAGGACCAUUGUUAACACUUGCUCACACUAGCGCACACCCUCUCUUUGAGGCUAAAUGGUUCAAUAAGGAAAUAAGUAGUAUACACAAAGAACUUAAGUCUUUGUGCACUACUAGCCUUUUAAGAGUCACAGAAACUGAUGGAGGAUAGGAAAUAGUCAGUGAGGGAAACAGAACAGAAUUAACCUUGGUUGGUCUGUAAGUCAAACGAAGAAAGUUUCACAGAGGUCGGGUAAGGUAGGGUGACGACGUUGCCACUGGAGAUGAAUGUUACUUUGAAGGAGGCAGUUUCAGUGAAGUGGGCCAAAGUUUGGUCUGAGCUUGAG
rnacentral:lncRNA from 1 species